ensembl:lncRNA
CAGACUUUUUAUUCUUGUGAUUAGAUUUUAUAUUACAGAGUCUGCACCCUCCUAUUUAGGAAUCUGAAAACAGAUAUUUUCUGGUUUACACUGAGUCUUGAAUAUCUCUUCAGCUGCUUCCUAAUGUUUGUUCCACAGGAAGGGAGCUAGUUCAUAGCAUACAUAGUGUGCUUUGUUGUAUCUGCAUCAGCAAAGUAGAUAAGCUCAGCCUCUCUUCAUCUGAAAAGGGAACAGAGGAGCAGCAGCAGGAGACAGUGCAAUGCUUCAGGAUAUUGUGAAGAUUUCAGGCAACAAGACGACUUUCAGCUGUAUCCAACACUCCAGCUGUGUUUGAUUUGCCUCUUAAUCAGAGAUUUCAAAAAUCAGGCUCCAUCUGCUAAAGAAUUCAAAGGACCUGCAUCUAUAUCCAGAGCAAAAACUCCACAGUUGUCUCAAGGGAGCAAAGUUUCUCUCAUGCCUGAUUCAUAACCAGAAGAGAAUUUCUCAGAAAUUGGAUUUUAGCAUUUGUCAGCCACAAGUUGUCAACCAAGCCUAUUUUCUCCUGGUAAGUUCCCACCUGUGUCUCUUUCAUAGUUACAGCACUAUAUUUUAAGAAAAUUUUGGACUUUUAUUCAGCAUACCAGACUCCAUUACAGCACUGCUAAGGUAAUAUCUACAUUUAUAGCUGUCAUUAAUAUGGCAUUUAAGAGCUUUAGUUGCUUUUUUUCCUUCACAGGGUAAUGAGCCAUAAUUAAAGGAGUCAGGGGUUGUAUUAGAGAAACAUUUGCCACCACAAGUGUAACACAAAGAUUACUUUGCAAAGAGACAACUGGGAGCCAAAGCAGCUCAGAGUAUUUCUUCAGAUAUUCAUGGCAAUAGCACAAUGACACUUGUCAUUGAAAGAACAACAUUCUAAUACAAUAACUUGUUCGAUCACUGUAUCUGAAAAUGGCUUAAAUUUGAUUAGUGUGUGCAGAUAAUGGGGACUAGACAACAGCAUAGAAAUGGUCCUAUUGAUUUAUAUCUGAAGAGUCCACAAGUAUGAUCUACAAGCAGCAGCUGUAAAGAGCUCUUUGCUUUCCUUUCUGUGCAGAAAUCACUUGGAACAAGGGUCAUCCCAAAACAAAAGCUAUUCAAGCAGCCUAUCUGAGAGGAAGAUGAGGAAGGAAGUAGUCUUAUUUCAUCUUCUGCACUGUAGAUCAUUUUUACAUCAUCCCAGAUUAUGCAAUAUACCAUGGCAGGGACUGUGAAGCAUGAGUUCAUCGAGAAAGAGCACUUUCAUUAGCGCUGCUGCAGUGUGUGCUCUCAGAUGUCUGAGGUGGAAAGGUCACAGCCACAGACUUCACAGCACCUGGCCUGUCUAACCCACCUGGUUAUCCAGAGCUACGAGGAAGGGAGCUUAAAUGCUUUCAGAUGAGGUGUGUGUUUAUCCUGAUGGCAUAUAAAGAAGAAUCCUGUUAAAUUAAGUAGCUCCCUUCUUAAGAAUGGCAGUUACUGUGAAGCACAGAUUAAAGCAAGAUUCCAUGAAUUAGUGAUCUGAUUUAAUUUGUCAGUGAUGUUUUACAAUGUGUAGUGUCAAACACUAUAUAAUGUCAAUGAUAAAGAGAGCACAAGAGGAUUUACGAUGUAUAAUGAGGUGAAAUGUCUUUGGUGCCCAAACUAUCGCUCCUUUGUUUGUAUGUAAACCACAAACGGGUUUGGCAUAAGGCACAAGGUUUUUUCUCAUCUCAAAAAAAAUAAAAGGGUCAGCUGUACUGUAAUGAGGUAAAAG